GCUACAGGCUUAACACAUGCAAGUCGAGGGGCAGCAUGGUCUUAGCUUGCUAAGGCCGAUGGCGACCGGCGCACGGGUGAGUAACGCGUAUCCAACCUGCCUUACACUCUUGGACAGCCUUCUGAAAGGGAGAUUAAUACAAGAUGUUAUCAUGAGUAAGCAUUUUCGCAUGAUUAAAGGUUUACCGGUGUAAGAUGGGGAUGCGUUCCAUUAGAUAGUAGGCGGGGUAACGGCCCACCUAGUCUUCGAUGGAUAGGGGUUCUGAGAGGAAGGUCCCCCACAUUGGAACUGAGACACGGUCCAAACUCCUACGGGAGGCAGCAGUGAGGAAUAUUGGUCAAUGGACGAGAGUCUGAACCAGCCAAGUAGCGUGAAGGAUGAAGGUUCUAUGGAUUGUAAACUUCUUUUAUACGGGAAUAAACGAAUCCACGUGUGGAUUUUUGCAUGUACCGUAUGAAUAAGGAUCGGCUAACUCCGUGCCAGCAGCCGCGGUAAUACGGAGGAUCCGAGCGUUAUCCGGAUUUAUUGGGUUUAAAGGGAGCGUAGAUGGGUUGUUAAGUCAGUUGUGAAAGUUUGCGGCUCAACCGUAAAAUUGCAAUUGAUACUGGCAGUCUUGAGUACAGUUGAGGUAGGCGGAAUUCGUGGUGUAGCGGUGAAAUGCUUAGAUAUCACGAAGAACUCCGAUUGCGAAGGCAGCUUACUAACCUGUAACUGACAUUGAUGCUCGAAAGUGUGGGUAUCAAACAGGAUUAGAUACCCUGGUAGUCCACACGGUAAACGAUGAAUACUCGCUGUAGGCGAUAUACAGUCUGCGGCCAAGCGAAAGCAUUAAGUAUUCCACCUGGGGAGUACGCCGGCAACGGUGAAACUCAAAGGAAUUGACGGGGGCCCGCACAAGCGGAGGAACAUGUGGUUUAAUUCGAUGAUACGCGAGGAACCUUACCCGGGCUUAAAUUGCAACCGAAUAUGGCGGAAACGCUAUAGCUAGCAAUAGCGGUUGUGAGGGUGCUGCAUGGUUGUCGUCAGCUCGUGCCGUGAGGUGUCGGCUUAAGUGCCAUAACGAGCGCAACCCUUGCCGAUAGUUACUAACAGGUCAUGCUGAGGACUCUGUCGGGACUGCCAUCGUAAGAUGUGAGGAAGGUGGGGAUGACGUCAAAUCAGCACGGCCCUUACGUCCGGGGCUACACACGUGUUACAAUGGGGGGUACAGAGGGCUGCUACCACGCAAGUGGAUGCCAAUCCCAAAAACCUCUCUCAGUUCGGAUUGAAGUCUGCAACCCGACUUCAUGAAGCUGGAUUCGCUAGUAAUCGCGCAUCAGCCACGGCGCGGUGAAUACGUUCCCGGGCCUUGUACACACCGCCCGUCAAGCCAUGGGAGCCGGGGGUACCUGAAGUGCGUAACCGCAAGGAGCGCCCUAGGGUAAAACUGGUGACUGGGGCUAAGUCAUAACA
rnacentral:rRNA from 1 species